GGGCGCGUAGCUCAGUUGGUUUAGAGCGAUUCGUUGACGUCGAAUAGGUCCCCCGUUCGAAUCGGGGCGCGCCCA
rnacentral:tRNA from 1 species